rfam:Gossypium arboreum cultivar AKA8401 contig_34647_1, whole genome shotgun sequence.
CUUGAAUACUAGAAGAAAAGCACCUAUACCUAGCAAAAUUAAGUGAAUACCCAAAAUUAUGGUCAUUUUAUUUCUAUCUUUCCA